UACAGAAGUAUCAUUGAUGAUGGGCGUCUCAAAGACAUCCUUUAUUCUACUGAUAGUAGCAUGGAGCGUUCAGGUGCCGUUUAUUGUAGGCGAUGCUGAAGAUCUUGCCUCUAAGACUGGAGGACAAGAGCCCGAGACCCGAGUGGUGGGUGGCAAAGACGCACCCAAAGGCCUUGUGAAGCACCAAGCCGCUCUAAAAUCAAAAGAUAACUGGACUUUUUGCGGCGCUGCUGUCAUAUCCGAAAGAUGGAUGCUGACAGCUGCCCAUUGUGUAGAAAGUCGUAAACCAUCAGAAUUUACCGCUGUGGUUGGUACAUUAUCAAGAAAUGAAGGUGGGACAACGUAUAAAAUAAGCAAAGUCAUUACUCACAAAGAACACAACAAGCCAAAACAAUUUGACAAUGAUAUUGGUGUUAUACGUACGAAAGAGGUCAUCGAAUUCAAUAAAAACGUUCAGCCCCUGCCAAGAUAUCAAGUCUGGAUUAUCGUGUUUACUGACCGGCUGGGGUAAAAUUGGCGAAAGGCGGUUCGCGCCUUACGAAUUGCGGUAUCUUUAUGUCAAAACUUUAUCCAGCAAAGAUUGUAAUAAGUUUUUUAAAGGACGCUCCCGUGUCACUAUAAGCUCCAACCAGAUGUGUACACUUAACAAAUAUGGAGAAGGAACAUGCCAAGGUGAUUCAGGCGGCAGCCUAGUGUGCAACGGCACCUCAGCCGGUAUCGUGUCCUACAACUGGCCCUGUGCUAAUGCUAUCCCUGAUGUGUACACCAACACGUACAAGUACAAUUCCUGGAUACAAGAAAAUACUAAAUCACCCUAACCAUAAUCAUUUAUAAAUUGUUAUAAAUUUCGUCGCACAAAUUACUAUGUAUUUUAUUUAG